CAGUCGCCGCGGUAAGACAGAGGAUGCAAGCGUUAUCCGGAAUGAUUGGGCGUAAAGCGUCUGUAGGUGGCUUUUCAAGUCCGCCGUCAAAUCCCAGGGCUCAACCCUGGACAGGCGGUGGAAACUACCAAGCUGGAGUACGAUAGGGGCAGAGGGAAUUUCCGGUGGAGCGGCGAAAUGCGUUGAGAUCGGAAAGAACACCAACGGCGAAAGCACUCUGCUGGGCCGACACUGACACUGAGAGACGAAAGCUAUGGGAGCAAAUGGGAUUAGAUACCCGCGUAGUCCCUGUCUCUUAUAC
rnacentral:rRNA from 1 species